GUCUAAGUAUAAGCAACUAUACGGUGAAACUGCGAAUGGCUCAUUAAAUCAGUUAUCGUUUAUUUGAUAGUACCUUACUACUUGGAUAACCGUGGUAAUUCUAGAGCUAAUACAUGCUAAAAACCCCGACUUCGGGAGGGGUGUAUUUAUUAGAUAAAAAACCAACGCCCUUCGGGGCUCCUUGGUGAUUCAUAAUAACUUAACGAAUCGCAUGGCCUUGCGCCGGCGAUGGUUCAUUCAAAUUUCUGCCCUAUCAACUUUCGAUGGUAGGAUAGUGGCCUACCAUGGUAUCAACGGGUAACGGGGAAUUAGGGUUCUAUUCCGGAGAGGGAGCCUGAGAAACGGCUACCACAUCCAAGGAAGGCAGCAGGCGCGCAAAUUACCCAAUCCCGACACGGGGAGGUAGUGACAAUAAAUACUGAUACAGGGCUCUUUUGGGUCUUGUAAUUGGAAUGAGUACAAUUUAAAUCCCUUAACGAGGAACAAUUGGAGGCAG
rnacentral:rRNA from 1 species